rnacentral:rRNA from 1 species
UACGUAUGUCCCAAGCGUUAUCCGGAUUUAUUGGGCGUAAAGCGAGCGCAGGCGGUUAUUUAAGUCUGAUGUGAAAGCCUACGGCUCAACCGUAGAAUUGCAUCGGAAACUGGAUGACUUGAGUGCAGUAGAGGAGAGUGGAACUCCAUGUGUAGCGGUGAAAUGCGUAGAUAUAUGGAAGAACACCAGAGGCGAAGGCGGCUCUCUGGACUGUAACUGACGCUGAGGCUCGAAAGUGUGGGUAGCAAAC